rnacentral:rRNA from 1 species
CAGAGGCCAAGAGCGUUGUUCGGAUUUACUGGGCGUAAAGGGCGCGUAGGCGGUCUUGCGUGUCAAGUGUGAAAUCUCCGGGCUCAACCCGGAAAGUGCGCUUGAAACUACAGGACUCGAGUCUGGGAGAGGGAAUCGGAAUACAGGGUGUAGCGGUGAAAUGCGUUGAUAUCCUGUAGAACACCGGAGGCGAAGGCGGAUUCCUUGAACAGUACUGACGCUGAGGCGCGAAAGUCGGGGGAGCAAACAGGAUU